GUCCCUUUAGAACAAUGGAUAGUCCGUUGGACUUCUAUUCCAAAGGUCGUGGGUUUGAAUCCCACCUGGGAUG